rnacentral:misc_RNA from 1 species
GAUGAAGAACGUAGCGAAAUGCGAUAAGUAAUGUGAAUUGCAGAAUUCAGUGAAUCAUCGAAUCUUUGAACGCACAUUGCGCCCGCCAGUAUUCUGUCGGGCAUGCCUGUUCGAGCGUCAUUUCAACCAUCAAGCCCCCGGCUUGUGUUGGGGACCUGCGGCUGCCGCAGGCCCUGAAAAGCAGUGGCGGGCUCGCUGUCACACCGAGCGUAGUAGCAUACAUCUCGCUCUGGGCGUGCUGCGGGUUCCGGCCGUUAAACCACCUUCAUAACCCAAGGUUGACCUCGGAUCAGGUAGGAAGACCCGCUGAACUUAAGCAUAUCAAUAAGCGGAGGA